CCUACGGGGGGCAGCAGGAAGGGAUAUUGGUCAAUGGGGGAAACCCUGAACCAGCAACGCCGCGUGAGGGAAGACGGUUUUCGGAUUGGAAACCUCUGGCCUCGGGGAAGAGGAUGACGGUAGCAGAGGAGGAAGCUCCGGCUAACUACGUGCCAGCAGCCGCGGUAAUACGUAGGGAGCGAGCGUGGUCCGGAUUUACUGGGUGUAAAGGGUGCGUAGGCGGCUUGGCAAGUCAGUAGGGAACUCCAUGGGCUUAACCCAUGAACUGCUCUUGAAACUGUCGAGCUUGAGUGAAGUAGAGGUAGGCGGAAUUCCCGGUGUAGCGGUGCCCUGCGU
rnacentral:rRNA from 1 species